UUGGGGUUUAUCACAUAUUUAACUAUUUAGUAUUAUUUUCACUUACUAGUGAUCAAUUAUAUUUGUAUUUUUUUGUUCUACAUUAUAGCCUUUUCUUUCAAUUUGUUGUGUUUAUUGGUGCUUAUUUAAUAUUCAAUUACAAUUUUUUAUGUAUUAGAGAUCAUUAAUCUCAACUUUCAAUUGAUUUUAUGUAGAAUUCAAUUUUUGUACAAUUUGUUUGUUACACUUAUACUGUAUAUAGGCCCAAAUGGGCUUUUAAAAAGCAAGCAGCUGUAAGAACUAGGGUUUCUAAGCU
rnacentral:lncRNA from 1 species